rnacentral:rRNA from 1 species
CCUGGUGACCAUACCGAAGGGGAAACACCCGUUUCCAUUCCGAAUACGGAAGUUAAGUCCUUCUGGGCCGAUGGUACUUCAUGGGAAACUGUGCGGGAGAGUAGGUCGUUGCCAGGG